rnacentral:rRNA from 1 species
UACGAAGGGGGCUAGCGUUGCUCGGAAUUACUGGGCGUAGAGGGCGCGUAGGCGGAUAGUUUAGUCAGAGGUAAAAGCCCAGGGCUCAACCUUGGAACUGCCUUUGAUACUGGCUAUCUUGAGUACGGGAGAGGUGUGUGGAACUCCGAGUGUAGAGGUGAAAUUCGUAGAUAUUCGGAAGAACACCAGUGGCGAAGGCGACACACUGGCCCGUUACUGACGCUGAGGCGCGAAAGCGUGGGGAGCAAACAGG